UACCAGCACCCCGAGUGGUCGGGACGAUUAUUGGGCCUAAAGCAUCCGUAGCCAGUUUUACAAGUCCUCCGUUAAAUCCAGCUGCUUAACAGAUGGGCUGCGGAGGAUACUAUAAGACUAGGAGGCAGGAGAGGCAAGCGGUACUCAGUGGGUAGGGGUAAAAUCCGUUGAUCCAUUGAAGACCACCAGUGGCGAAGGCGGCUUGCCAGAACGCACUCGACGGUGAGGGAUGAAAGCUGGGGGAGCAAACCGG
rnacentral:rRNA from 1 species